UACGGGGGGUGCAAGCGUUGUCCGGAAUCAUUGGGCGUAAAGCGUUCGUAGGCGGCAAGGUAAGUCAGAUGUUAAAGCCCGGGGCUCAACUCCGGUCCGGCAUUUGAUACUAUCUAGCUAGAAUGCGGUAGAGGUAAAGGGAAUUCCUGGUGUAGCGGUGAAAUGCGUAGAUAUCAGGAGGAACAUCGGUGGCGAAAGCGCUUUACUGGGCCGUUAUUGACGCUGAGGAACGAAAGCCAGGGGAGCAAAU
rnacentral:rRNA from 1 species